AGGGGUGUAGUUAAAUGGCAUAAUAGGAGUCUCCAAAACUUUUGUUGGGGGUUCGAUUCCCUCCACCCCUGCCA
rnacentral:tRNA from 1 species